rnacentral:rRNA from 1 species
UACGGAGGGUGCAAGCGGUAUCCGGAUUCACUGGGUUUAAAGGGUGCGUAGGCGGGCAGGUAAGUCAGGGGUGAAAUCUUCGAGCUUAACUCGGAAACUGCCUUUGAUACUAUCUGUCUUGAAUAUGGUGGAGGUAAGCGGAAUAUGUCAUGUAGCGGUGAAAUGCUUAGAUAUGACAUAGAACACCUAUUGCGAAGGCAGCUUACUACGCCUAUAUUGGCGCUGAGGCACGAAAGCGUGGGGAGCAAACAGG